GAUGAACGCUGGCGGCGUGCCUAAUACAUGCAAGUCGAGCGAACGGACGAGAAGCUUGCUUCUCUGAUGUUAGCGGCGGACGGGUGAGUAACACGUGGAUAACCUACCUAUAAGACUGGGAUAACUUCGGGAAACCGGAGCUAAUACCGGAUAAUAUAUUGAACCGCAUGGUUCAAAAGUGAAAGACGGUCUUGCUGUCACUUAUAGAUGGAUCCGCGCUGCAUUAGCUAGUUGGUAAGGUAACGGCUUACCAAGGCAACGAUGCAUAGCCGACCUGAGAGGGUGAUCGGCCACACUGGAACUGAGACACGGUCCAGACUCCUACGGGAGGCAGCAGUAGGGAAUCUUCCGCCAUGGGCGAAAGCCUGACGGAGCAACGCCGCGUGAGUGAUGAAGGUCUUCGGAUCGUAAAACUCUGUUAUUAGGGAAGAACAUAUGUGUAAGUAACUGUGCACAUCUUGACGGUACCUAAUCAGAAAGCCACGGCUAACUACGUG
rnacentral:rRNA from 1 species